rnacentral:rRNA from 1 species
CUUGGUUCAAUUAGAGGAAGUAAAAGUUGUAACAAGGUUUCCGUAGGUGAACCUGCGGAAGGAUCAUUACCAGAUUCCAAACCAAAAGUCAGUGGAGAGAGAGGCGGUCAUAACGGUGGAAGACGUCGUCACAUUGGCGGGUUCCAUAACCGGCACAAGAUGUUGGAAGGGCCCAGGGCGGGCCGGCCGGGUCAACCUCAUCCGUGUAAUCCUGCUGCCCACUGCGCUCCCUCCCUACGCUUUAGGGCAGCAACCCCCCGCAUUGGGGGGUGGAGGCCGGAUCUAUGCAAUCAAUGCUUCGCAUCCAUCCACACAGUUGGGUGCCGGUGCGGAGUAGACUAUUGCGGCUAAAGGAGGUUCACCCGGAUGGUGGCUGACUGCGCAUGCAGGACCAUCAUGGAUGGAUCCAACCAUGCGUUCCUUCCCCUGGGGCCUGAGGGGUGUAAAAACCCCUCAGCGACCUGCUCCGACGGCGUGAAGAGGACCCCCACCGUUUGGCACCCUCUCGCCAUUGUCCCAACCAAAACCCUCUGUGUACCCUUCCCUGUUGCUUCCCCCGGGCAACUGGCUCCGGCCAGCCGGGGGGAGAAACCUAGCAAAAACCCUUUUCGCAAAAACAGAGGUCUGAAUGUAGAAAACAAACAAAAAAAAAAAAGUUAAAACUUUCAACAACGGAUCUCUUGGUUCCCACAUCGAUGAUGUGAUUGCAGAUUCAGUGAAUCAUCGAAUCUUUGAACGCACCUUGCGCUCCUUGGUAUUCCGAGGAGCAUGCCUGUUUGAGUGUCAUUAAAUUCUCAACUCCUCCAGCUGUUGCAGCUGGGCUGGGGCUUGGAUUGUGGAGGGAUUGCUGGUGGAUUAUCAGCUCCUCUGAAAAGCAUUAGUGGAACUGGUUUGCGAUCCAUCACGGGUGUGAUAAUUAUCUAUGCCUGUGGGUUGCUCUCUGUGUGUUCUGCUGCCAACAUUGUCUUGGACAAAAUUUUUUGACGAUUUGACCUCAAAUCAGGUAGGACUACCCGCUGAACUUAAGCAUAUCAAUAAGCGGAGGAA